CCUACGGGAGGCAGCAGUGGGGGAUAUUGCACAAUGGGGGGAACCCUGAUGCAGCGACGCCGCGUGGGUGAAGAAGCGCCUCGGCGCGUACAGCCCUGUCAGCAGGGAAGAAAAUGACGGUACCUGACGAAGAAGCCCCGGCUAACUACGUGCCAGCAGCCGCGGUAAUACGUAGGGGGCAAGCGUUAUCCGGAUUUACUGGGUGUAAAGGGGGCGCAGACGGCGCUGCAAGCCAGGAGUGAAAGGCCGGGGCCCAACCCCGGGACUGCUCUUGGACAUGCGUGGCAGGAGUGCAGGAGGGGCAGGCGGAAUUCCUGGGGUAGCGGUGAAAUGCGUAGAUAUCAGGAGGAACACCGGUGGCGAAGGCGGCCUGCUGGACUGCAACUGACGUUGAGGCCCGAAAGCGUGGGGAGCAAACAGGAUUAGAUACCCGAGUAGUC
rnacentral:rRNA from 1 species